rnacentral:lncRNA from 1 species
GCUUCACUGGCUGGUGAUUUGUGCCCAGCCAGACUGCGGCAUAUUUUCAUUCAUAGCUUCCAUGCUGACACUGUUAAAACAUAGUAAGAAUUGUUUGAAGUCAGUUUCUUCUAGCAGGAUUCCCCACUUCUGCUCUCAACAAGGGGAGACAUACAAGGGAAAACUGCAUCUAGCACUCUAGCAGGUGGUCUGCCCAAAGGGGAUCCUGCCUAAUGGGGAACAGGAGAGAGGGCAGGACCUGUAGUUGACAUGUUUCCUAAUUACUCUUAGUGCCAAGCUCAGGGAUGGCUAUCCUACGCAAGCUGACUCAUUUAAUUCUGAAAACAGCUACAAAAGAAGUGAUAUCAUUCCCACUUUGAAAAAAGGUAAACCUAGGUUCAGAAGGAUGGAGUCAAGGCCACACAGCACUCUACCUUUGGAUUUAAACGCGGAUCAAACCAAUUAUAAAAACCUCACCAUUUCUAUGAUUCCACACAGUGCCAGUUCCUGCUUAUAUUAUCAGCUGUGUCUUAAAAUAUUAAGGCAGAAGGCUUAGCACUUUAAGGGUCUAAUCAUCAGAGAACCUACACAGGAGCCUGCAUGCAUAAGGGCAUAACAGGACAUUGGCAUUCUGAUGAAGGAAAAUGAAGAGGAAGCUGGAGUGUCAUAGGUCUGAUAUGCUUUAAAACAAGAAAUCUUUAAGCUAAUAACAACAAAUUAAAAAUAGCCAAAAUAAGGUUAUAUCUCAUUUCAGAGGCAAUUUCCAAACUUUCCAGACUACAAUACAACUUUUUAAAAAUGAAGAUUAAAUUCAAAUACAGUAAAAUGCACAGAUAUUAAGUGUAGGUUUCAUGGUUUGCUAAAUGUUUAUACUGGUGUAAUUCAACCUGCUAUCAAAAUAUAGAACACUUCCAUCAUCCCACAAAGUUCUCUCAUGUCCCUUCCUUGUCAAUACCUUUCAGCCCCAGGCAAACCACUACUCUGAUUUCUAUCCCAUUAUUUACACUGCUUCUAGAACUUCAUAUAAAUGGAAUCUGACAGCAUGUUCUUCUUUAGCUCAGCAUAAAGUUUUUUAGACCUAUACAAUUUGAUUUAUGAAUCAGCAGUUCAUUUCAAUGAAUUUGCCUACUAGUAUUCAGC